AGAGUUUGAUCCUGGCUCAGAAUCAACGCUGGCGGCGUGCCUAACACAUGCAAGUCGCACGAGAAAGUGGAGCAAUCCAUGAGUAAAGUGGCGCACGGGUGAGUAACACGUGAAUCAUCUACCUCCGAGUGGGGAAUAACCUAGAGAAAUCUGGGCUAAUACCGCAUAACACUUACGAGUCAAAGCAGCAAUGCGCUUGGAGAGGAGUUCGCGGCCGAUUAGCUAGUUGGCGGGGUAAUGGCCCACCAAGGCGAUGAUCGGUAUCCGGCCUGAGAGGGCGCACGGACACACUGGAACUGAAACACGGUCCAGACUCCUACGGGAGGCAGCAGUGGGGAAUUUUGCGCAAUGGGGGAAACCCUGACGCAGCAACGCCGCGUGGAGGAUGAAAUCCCUUGGGAUGUAAACUCCUUUCGAUAGGGAAGAUAAUGACGGUACCUAUAGAAGAAGCCCCGGCUAACUUCGUGCCAGCAGCCGCGGUAAUACGAGGGGGGCAAGCGUUGUUCGGAAUUAUUGGGCGUAAAGGGUGCGUAGGCGGUUUGACAAGUCUUAUGUGAAAUCUAUGGGCUCAACCCAUAGUCUGCAUGGGAAACUGUCGGGCUUGAGUAUGGGAGAGGUGAGUGGAAUUUCCGGUGUAGCGGUGAAAUGCGUAGAUAUCGGAAGGAACACCUGUGGCGAAAGCGGCUCACUGGACCAUUACUGACGCUGAUGCACGAAAGCUAGGGGAGCAAACAGGAUUAGAUACCCUAGUAGUCC
rnacentral:rRNA from 1 species